CCUACGGGUGGCAGCAGUGAGGAAUAUUGGUCAAUGGACGAGAGUCUGAACCAGCCAAGUAGCGUGAAGGAUGACUGCCCUAUGGGUUGUAAACUUCUUUUAUAUGGGAAUAAAACGUUCCACGUGUGGGAUUUUGUAUGUACCAUAUGAAUAAGGAUCGGCUAACUCCGUGCCAGCAGCCGCGGUAAUACGGAGGAUCCGAGCGUUAUCCGGAUUUAUUGGGUUUAAAGGGAGCGUAGGUGGAUUGUUAAGUCAGUUGUGAAAGUUUGCGGCUCAACCGUAAAAUUGCAGUUGAAACUGGCAGUCUUGAGUACAGUAGAGGUGGGCGGAAUUCGUGGUGUAGCGGUGAAAUGCUUAGAUAUCACGAAGAAUUCCGAUUGCGAAGGCAGUUCACUGGACUGCAACUGACACUGAGGCUCGAAAGUGUGGGUAUCAAACAGGAUUAGAUACCCCAGUAGUC
rnacentral:rRNA from 1 species